UGAGUAUCCAACCUGUAAUUAUCAGCUCCCACUCGUGUAUCCGCACUCCCUCGAGCGCGGCGAUGUCACAGCUGUAGCUCCCUGCAUGAGACCUCUGGACGCCGUCUAUCACCACCUCUCAAUCAAAAGAGCUAAAUUGAGGAUGCCGUGAAGCAGCGUAGGAUCAUGGGAGUUGUUGUCUUCUUCGGCACCAAAUAAUGUUCGUGGAUGAGUGAUCAACAACAAGAGGGGAGUUAAUCCACUGAUCCAAUCAGAGCAGGCAGGUAACAUAAGACCGCGCCUCCUGCAGCAGCAGCAACAUCACUGGAGAAGAAACGUUAAGAUGGAUUGAGAGGAGGUCAAGACUCACUACACUUGGCAAGUACCUUUACUUUGAAUCCCUGAAGUAUUUUGAAAAGCAAGUAAUUACCUACUUUUACUCAAGUAGAAAAGUUAAUGUCAUACUUAUACGUUUACUUGAGUACAUUGUCUAUUUAUUUGUACUUUUACUGAGGGGAAAUGUUUACAUCACUGCUUGCUUGGACACAGCUCCCCUACAUGAGCACAUAAUAACAUAGUUAUUUCAGAAGUAACAGAAAUGUGCUAAUUGUCAGUACUUAAUAAUUUAUUUAAAUUUUGUCAAAUUUAAUAGAAACCUAGUUGAGUAGAAGUCAGCGGUGGAAAGUAAUUAAGUACAUUUACUUUAUUGAAGUAUUAUUUUAAUGUACCUCUACUUUGCUUGAUUAUCUAUAAUACACUUUAUAGUGAAUUUAUGUACUUUUUACCCAACUACAUUAAUAUGAUACAUUUUGUCAAUAGUGAAUUUGCCGAUUCAGAUUAUUAAUAGAAAAUAUGAUCAGCUAAUAAAUGAUGAUGAAUCAAUAGGUUAAAAUAAGACUUAAAAUAUGAGAAAUAGUUAAAAUCCAAUUUUUACAAGCUGUAACCUUAAGUGAUGAAUGCAUCAGUAAGUAUGAAAGUAUAUGUUAUAAUCCAAUUAAUUUUGGUCCAUCAGGUUAACCAAUUCUUCUGAAUGCAGGAGUGUGUGUGUGUGUGUGUGUGUGUGUGUGUGUGUGUGUGUGUGU